ensembl:lncRNA
GGAUUAGGGACAAGAGGAGAUUGUGGUUCAGAUCAAGUGUUUCAGCAUAAACCUGUGGCAUCUCACCUGGCAUUCUUUCCCCAGGGGCUCUGUCAUUGCAGGGCCUUCCUCCAUGGGCUGGAGGGCUGGAAGGCAAGAUAUUCCCUGGAUCUUAGCAGCAGCAAGACUCUGAGGAAGUUCAGCCCCUGAGGUGUGGUCCUAGUUCAGGGAAGGGGAGAAUCAGCUUCGUGAAGACCUCUACCUUCCUUCCCCUGCUGGUCACUUUCCAGGAACUGUGAUGAAGAAAGACAGAUUUGUGAAGUAGCAAACACAGAUGUCUGUGACCUGGACAUGCCAGUUACCAACAAAAAACAGGAAUAAUCUUUCUAAGGUGCUAGCCAGAGCCUAAGAGUUCCUCCUCUAGUACUUGGGUUUUCUUACUCUUCCCACCAUGCAGCUGCUUGUCCGGCGUGUGGCUGACCUCCAUGUUGGAUUGAUUCAGAUGGCAUGACUGGCCUCUCCCCCUUCCCUUCCAAGUCUCCUCUUCUGAGUAGCCGGCAAGAUCUGCAGCUUGUAUGGGAUUUUACUUUUAAACUCUAAUAAAAUUCCCUUGGGCUGCU